rnacentral:rRNA from 1 species
AGUGAACGCUGGCGGUAGGCCUAACACAUGCAAGUCGAACGGCAGCACAGUAAGAGCUUGCUCUUACGGGUGGCGAGUGGCGGACGGGUGAGGAAUACAUCGGAAUCUACUUUUUCGUGGGGGAUAACGUAGGGAAACUUACGCUAAUACCGCAUACGACCUACGGGUGAAAGCAGGGGAUCUUCGUACCUUGCGCGAUUGAAUGAGCCGAUGUCGGAUUAGCUAGUUGGCGGGGUAAAGGCCCACCAAGGCGACGAUCCGUAGCUGGUCUGAGAGGAUGAUCAGCCACACUGGAACUGAGACACGGUCCAGACUCCUAAGGGAGGCAGCAGUGGGGAAUAUUGGAAAAUGGGCGCAAGCCUGAUCCAGCCAUACCGCGUGGGUGAAGAAGGCCUUCGGGUUGUAAAGCCCUUUUGUUGGGAAAGAAAAGCAGCAGGUUAAUACCCCGCUGUUCUGACGGUACCCAAAGAAUAAGCACCGGCUAACUUCGUG